GACGGGGGGGGCAAGCGUUGUUCGGAAUUACUGGGCGUAAAGGGUUUGUAGGUGGCUUGCUAAGUCAGACGUGAAAUCCCUCAGCUUAACUGGGGAACUGCGUCUGAUACUGGCGAGCUUGAGUGCAGGAGAGGAACGCGGAAUUCCAGGUGUAGCGGUGAAAUGCGUAGAUAUCUGGAGGAACACCGGUGGCGAAGGCGGCGUUCUGGACUGCAACUGACACUGAAAAACGAAAGCCAGGGGAGCAAACGGG
rnacentral:rRNA from 1 species